rnacentral:lncRNA from 1 species
AACUCUUCAUACUUUCCAACACCCACAACCACAACUGCAGUUUUGCCUCUCCCACUGAUUUCACCUCUGAAAAGGCUCGCCUGCUAUGCUCUAAGACUUUACCCUUCUCAUCUUUUACAAUCCAAGAGGCUCCCAUACUCUCACCUCGGCUUGACCAGUCCAUAUCAAACUCACAUUGAACCCAACCAACCUAUAUAUUCUG